AAUAUCCCAUCUAAACCUCCCUCUGUCAGUUUAAAAUCAUUGCCCCUCUUCCUGUCACUAUCAGCCCAUGUAAAAUGUCACUCUCCCUCCUUUUUUUACAACCCCAUUUAGGCACAGGAAGGAGCUCUCAGGUCCCCCUGGAGCCUUCUCCAGACUGAACAACCUCAGGUCUCCCAGCCUGUCUUUGUGGCAGAGGUGCUCCAGCUCCCAGAACAUCUUCAUGGCUGAUACUGCCAUGUCCCUCCCAAAAGCAGAUGUUCUCAAUGUACAACAGUCCCAGGGCUGGUGACUCUCUUUUACUCAGAGCUACAGCAGACUCGCAGAGGAGCUCUCAGGUGGUGUUAUCCAUAGGGAGUUCUGGAACAGAAAUGUGGACUCCAGGACCUAAGCAAGUAAAAUGCUUGGAAAAUACCUUGCUCAUCCCAACAUCCAGCAUUAGGAGCAACCUCUCUUCGUGAGACUUUCACCCAGAAACACCAGCAAGUUUCAAAUUUGGUGGCUGUUCCCUUAAAUCAUCAAGCUGUGAAUGUGAACCCCUGGUCUGGCUCCCACUGCACCUCCACUGUGCUGUUCAAUCCCACCAGCAGAGUGUCUCCCAGGAUGAGAAAUAGCUGCUAAAGCACAGGAGAGCUCUAAAAGGUUGGGAACGUGCUCAAAACAUCAACAAAUUGAUCUGUACAGGGCUCCUGCUGUGAGCACCAGUAUAAAAAAACAGGAUGGGAGAAACGAGACAGGCUGGUUUUGCAUGAGAUGACAGAAAUGAAUUGCAGGGGAGCUUGGGGAAUUUUCACUGCAAGCUGUUGGAAAACUGUGGUGUGUCCACUCUGGAAAGGCUGUCUGUAAGGCCAUGCUCCAGCAAGGCACAGUUGUAAUGGGUGUGUUGAAUGAUGGGAUGUUCCAUAUGGGGUCUGCUCUGUGCCUGCCCCCAUUUACCUGCUGCAGAUGGUGAAGGGGUCCUAGAUAUUGUGGAACCCCAGAAUGGUUUGGGUUGGAAGGGACCUUAAAGCUCAUCUUGUUUCACAUCCCUGCCAUGGGCAGGGACACCCCCCACUAGACCAGGUUGCUCCAAGCCCCAUCCAGCUUGUUCUCGAACACUUCCAGGGAUGCAGCAUUCACAGCUUCUCUGGGUAAGAUGUGGGUGGGUACAGCUCUCCCUUAAUGGGCUGCUCUUCUUGGGGCCGUGCCAGC
rnacentral:lncRNA from 1 species